ensembl:lncRNA
CCCCGCCGGCCCCGCCCCGCCCCGCCCCGCCCUUCGGGGGGCGGGUCCCGCGGCCUCCCGGCUUCCGCGCUCCCUCUGCACCGGCCCGGCAGGGGUGGCCCGCGGGCCGGUAGCACCGCGGGGAGCUGGUGGGGGUGUGGGCCGGCCCCACGACGAGAGCAGCAAGGGAAGGGGCCGGGGUGCAGGAGGCAAUCCAAGGCUGUACAGCACCAAGCAUCCCAGAUGACAGGAGCAUGCCAGUAGCAUGUGGCUCCAGGCAUCUCUCCGGGCUCCAGUCCUCUCUGCCAUGACCCCCAGGAGCCCUCCAUCCUGCCCAGCAUGGCCUCAUCCCUCCCAGCCUGGCCUGGGGAGGAUGCUCAGUGAUGGCUGGAGCAGCUGGCCAGAUCCUGCUUUCACUGCAGACCCCAGCACUGGAAGCUGCAGAAACUGGGCAUCCUCACUCAUUUUCUCACCUUCCUGGGGACCAUCCUGUGGGACUUGUAGCUGCUGUGUGUUGGCCAGCUGAAGGCCAGGGUGGACGGCCAGAAGCAUCCCAGCAGAGGGAGAGUGAAGCCCCCAUGCAUCUUGCUGGAUAAGAGCCUCAUGGCCCAAAGCCCCUGGCUCCCAGUACUGGAGGUGACAGGGAAGGUGUCCCCAGAUCCCUGGCAUAGGAUCUGGAGUCAGAUCCUGGCAAGGUCCUUGAGGACAUCGGCCCAUUUUGGGUUCUCCGGCACAGCACCACUCCUUGCACG